rnacentral:rRNA from 1 species
AUUGAACGCUGGCGGCAGGCCUAACACAUGCAAGUCGAGCGGAUGAAGGGAGCUUGCUCCUGGAUUCAGCGGCGGACGGGUGAGUAAUGCCUAGGAAUCUGCCUGGUAGUGGGGGAUAACGUCCGGAAACGGGCGCUAAUACCGCAUACGUCCUGAGGGAGAAAGUGGGGGAUCUUCGGACCUCACGCUAUCAGAUGAGCCUAGGUCGGAUUAGCUAGUUGGUGGGGUAAAGGCCUACCAAGGCGACGAUCCGUAACUGGUCUGAGAGGAUGAUCAGUCACACUGGAACUGAGACACGGUCCAGACUCCUACGGGAGGCAGCAGUGGGGAAUAUUGGACAAGGGGCGAAAGCCUGAUCCAGCCAUGCCGCGUGUGUGAAGAAGGUCUUCGGAUUGUAAAGCACUUUAAGUUGGGAGAAAGGGCAGUAAGUUAAUACCUGGCUGUUUUGCCGUUACCAACAGAAUAAGCACCGGCUACCUUCGU